GUGGAUAUACCUUGAAUCCAUCUAGGUAGUCUUUGUUAAUGAUUUGUUUAUCUGUGAAUGCUAGUUAGUUCUUUCAAUUACCUAAUACUUGCUCAUCUAUUCUGUUUUUCAUUCUAGUUGCUAAGUUUCAUAUAUCUUCUUGUUGGUUCUUUCUGAUUCCUAGUACUUGAUAUUAGAAUGAUUCCUCCACAGUCCAUGACAUCUUGUGAUGUAAUGAUGAUCAGUAAGACUUGAGUAAUGAUUUGCAACUGGAGAAAUCGAUUGAAAUGAUUCAUGUAUUUAAAGUCUCAUUUCAGGAUGCUAUUGUGAAGGUGUAAAAAGAUUUGUAUAUGUAUCAGCUGCUGAUUUUGGUCCCGUGAAUUAUAUCCUGCAAGGGUAUUUUGAGGGAAAGGAAUAAUUCUCAAACCGGGUUUCGUAUAUGGAACACGGAAAGUUGGGAGUAUGAAGAUACCUCUAGGACUAAUAGGAUCACCAUUAGAGAAGGUAGAACCCAUCGUCUCUCCAUUUGGACGGCAAGAGAAACUGAAACUUGAACUCACCUAUGUUUUGAGUUGAUCUACAGAUUCUCCAGCAUGCAAAGCCACUAAGUAGCAUCCCAGUUGUUGGUCCCCUCUUGACACCUCCAGUAAAGAAAGAAGAAAAAUUGGCUAUGCCUCAGCAUGGAAUUUGCGACACGGUUCAGACUCCAAUGGUUCUUCUUUGAAAAUCCCUUCUUCUAAGCAACUGAGUAUGAAACCUGUGGAUCCUACUAUGCUCAGUCCACAUUAGACGAGAGCUUACCAAGGAGAGGUUGGCACUAGUAAAGGCUGGGAGAGAGGAUAGAGGGAAGUACCAAGCCAGAGCUGCAGUGAAACAGAGAAAGG